rnacentral:rRNA from 1 species
AGGGAAUCUUCCACAAUGGACGCAAGUCUGAUGGAGCAACGCCGCGUGAGUGAAGAAGGUUUUCGGACCGUAAAGCUCUGUUGUUGGUGAAGAAGGAUAGAGGUAGUAACUGGCCUUUAUUUGACGGUAAUCAACCAGAAAGUCACGGCUAACUACGUGCCAGCAGCCGCGGUAAUACGUAGGUGGCAAGCGUUGUCCGGAUUUAUUGGGCGUAAAGCGAGCGCAGGCGGAAGAAUAAGUCUGAUGUGAAAGCCCUCGGCUUAACCGAGGAAUUGCAUCGGAAACUGUUUUCUUGAGUGCAGAAGAGGAGAGUAGAACUCCAUGUGUAGCGGUGGAAUGCGUAGAUAUAUGGAAGAAUACCAGUGGCGAAGGCGGCUCUCUGGUCUGCAACUGACGCUGAGGCUCGAAAGCAUGGGUAGCGAACAGGAUUAGAUACCCUGAUAGUCCAUGCCGUAAACGAUGAGUGCUAAGUGUUGGGAGGCUUCCGCCUCUCAGUGCUGCAGCUAACGCAUUAAGCACUCCGCCUGGGGGAGUACGACCGCAAGGUUGAAAC